UACCGUCGGGUUCACAUCUACCACUGCAAAAUUUUCCCACUUCUAGACCGUUUUGUCCUCUAAUCCGGAGUCGAUUCUUCAACCGAGCAUAACUUACACAUACGAACUCUGAUUUCGAUGUUCCAUAUAUCAAAAUCGAUCAGAAUUAGGUAGAUUUCACAAACUCAGUUUUCCCAAAUUUACCUCAAAAGUUUGAGUUUUUACCUUCUAAUUUUUUUCACAUUUUUUGUAAUCUUCAGAAAAUUCCACAGGGCACGUCUUUCACCUAUUUAAGCUCAAGUUUUCUAUGGUUACUUCUUUAGUGCUCCUAAGUCAAAGAAAAAUAUCAAAAAAUAAAAAUAAAAAGUCAAAAUUUUGCAAAAAAAAAAACAACGACACCCUAAAAAAGAGAGGGGCAAUAGAGGAACAAUAGAAGGGCAAAGUGAGUUGUGUUAGCAUAUGCUGUUUUGUGCUUUGUUUCUUUUGUUCUUGCUAUCCAUCAUACUUGUUUGUCCACCUUGUUGAUCAUCAUACACCUAGUACUUGGAACAUAUAAGGCCGACAACAACAACAAGCACUAGGGACUAUAAUUCAGUAUUACUAUAUGUUUCUGAUUUGUGUUCCACAUAUAUAUUUGUCUAUUUGUGUGCCUUCCAAGGUCUACAGAUUCUUCUAGACAGCAAAGGUUUGCAUCCCUACAAUUGGGACUCCACAUCUUCUAGGUUUCCUUUGCCUUGCUGGUAAGAACACCGAUAAGACCUUGGUAAGGUGUUUCCUUUUGCUGUCAUUUUUUAGAAGCAUCACUCCACCUUCGUAGUACGAUUAUUAGGGAUAACCUUCACUAUUUGUUCCUAUUUUUUUGUCUAUAAUGUCAGGUGAUGAGCUACCCAAAGACUUCAAUGAGUGUGUUAGCCAAGAGUACCUACAAGCUGUUGUACACAAAGUUAAUAAGGACAUAGAGGAGAUAGUCAUCAAGGUUGUUACUCAGGUGAUGCUUGAACUCAAGCUCGCUAACCAGCUAGAGAGGUUGG
rnacentral:lncRNA from 1 species